AAAUGGAUUAUGCUGAGGAACAUAACGAAAUAAUAGAAACGAUACAGGCCAAUGGGGAGCAAUAGGGACUGUAAUUGAAGCAAAUUACCAAAACAUACAGCUGAUGGAAGCUUUUCCACCUAAUAGGACUAAUUGUUCUUGACAAACCUUAUCACAAUUAUAAGAAGUCUAAAGCCAAUUUGCGAAACUCGUACUGGCUAUUAGUGAUCAUUCAAGUCCACAACAGUGGACCCCAAAAAGUAAUCAUUCAGCAAUGAAUUUGUCCUAAGUAUGAGGAACGGGUAACAAGAAUCCAGUUCGCCAUACAAGCCUACGAUAAGACAUAUCUGCAUGGAGAUCACAAAACUAAAAUCAUGCUGGUCCUACAUUUUUUCUUUCUCUCUCCAGUUAGUAUGAUAACACAAUUGAUGUUACAAUAUCGGAUACGCAAAAUUUAGAAGAUGUAACAUCAGAUCAUGGAUGGUUAUACUUGCAAAGUCGAUCAAUGAGAAGAAUUCACAGUAGAGACUUCAGGGUAAGUAAAGACGGAUUAGAAGCAUAAGUUCUCUAACAUUAACUUAUAUAACAUCUUCAAUUAAAUCAAAAGUCGGAUGACUCCGCCUUGUCACCCCAAAUAACAGUUACCAGUCUACGCAUGUAUGCAUCCGGAUUCUUUGAAUGAAAUUAGUCCCUAGCAGCAGAGAUUACUUUCUGAGGAAUGCUUUUAUUUCAGAUAGAAGGUUGAUAUCCUUACUUUUGACCAAAUGGUCAUGUCACUCAAUUCAACUGAUUUUAUUUUCCUUGUGCUAAAUUUCAUCGAAUGACCAAAAUUCUAAGCCAUAAGGCAUAAAAGCCAAGUUAGUAUGACGCGAUAUCAAGGACUUUCUCUCUUAACAUAGGUCUGCAAGCAUGGCAAAAUAUUUUCCAAGAGAUUCUUGCUACACCAAGAUCAAAGAUAACAUAAAACUAAUAAUUGCUGCUGCAGCAUCUAUAUAAUCAUUCUAAUCUUUUAUGAUUAACAGCUACACAAUUAUUUAUGAACUAAAAAGUCACAUUUUCGUUUUCCAAAAGAAACCCAUCAAUAAAAUGAUCAUCCCAAGGGUGUUUAUCUCUCUGUAAUAAAAAUUAACAAAUAAGCUAUCGUCCCUUUUAAAUUUGAUUUAAACAGUUUUAACAGUUUUCAUUCUAAAGAAAUUCUAACGAGAAAGUCUUACAAACUCUAUACUUGUUUAACAUAAUUUAUAAAGCAAUUAAGAGUAUUUAAUCAUAUAUAUUAGGAUCUCUUCAAUGUUCAAUACUUUAAAGGAAAGGGCUUUUUCUUUCAUUGAUGCACACAAAUACAACAAUAUAUGUAAGUGAAUGCUUAUAAAUGUAGUCAAGAUCUUCUCUAAAAGUUUCGCACUUUCAAAAAUGCAUUUUGCUUUUUAAUAUGUUUUAUGAUGUUUACAGUGGAGUUUCAGGUUUAUUAUCAAUUCAAAUGAUUAAGAUUUCUGCAGCACUAGCCUGCCUUUGGCAAUAUAUAUUCAAAUUCUCUCAGCUCAGGUCUGCGUCAUUAUAAUUGAAAAAAAGAUCAUUUACAGUGAUUCACUUUAGCUUUAACAUAGAGAGAUCAAAAGGAAACUACUUACACAUUAUUUGAUAGAAGCAAAACAACUUCAUGAAUUUGCAACUGAUCAUGGUAACAUGCAAUCAACUGAAGUAUUAUUAGUGUUGACUCUUACAGCAAUUAAUCAGUCAAGGUUGGCAAAUAAAUGAAUAAUACAAAACUUAGAAGAGAAGACGCUCACUUCAUCCAGCAUUCAAUGCCAAUGUGCCUGAUCGCAUGACAGUGUAUUGAGCAACCUGAUUAAAAUUUUUCAUCAUGAUAUAAAGCAUUAAAAGCUAAUGACUCCAGUGUACUAGUAACUACACCUCAUAUUCAAGACUGAACCAGAAGAGAAGCAAUAUAGUCCAACUGUCAUUGCUAGUAAUGUCUUCUUGGAAGCUAAUCUUUUGAGACGCAAACACCUAUGGCAGUUGGUAUAUGAGCAGUUUUGAGAGACCAGAUCCAAUCAAGCAAAGAAAGUGAAACCUUACAUCAAAGGAAACAACUAAAGGCACUUCCUCUCCAAAUGGACCAACAUCAUCCCUUUACAUCUCCUACAAUUUAAAAGAGAGAGGACUUCUUUCCUUCCCUGCAUACUGAGCAUAAUAAGAACACUGCAAGUUCAAAGCUGAUAGAAUAUUGGACUUAAAAUUCAGAUAUUAUAAAUUCUAAAGAGUGCUCUAUCUUUGCUAUACCAAACAGCAUCAUAAUUAUUCAAAGUAGUUAGUGAAGUGCAAAGGGAGGACAAGUAUCUAUGUCAUUCAUACUCAUUUAAAGUACACAGGUUUUAAUAUUACAUCCACUUCCAAAGUUCAAGCUCCUUCUGAUCUUUUAAUUUGAUGGAAACCAAAUAAGUGAAGUGAAAAGUUGGCUAUUGGGAACCCAAAAUAGCAAUAAAGGAUUCAAUGGGAUUCUGUUGCGGGCCCGAGUCUGGGAUCAAGUCACCAAACGAGUAGCACAAAAAUCAGAUUCGAACGAAGGGUCUUUGCCCUUAUUUCGAUUCCUAUUUUUUCCUGUGGUUAUUGAACUCUUAAGGGAGUUGCCUACCUUGAAACUCUAAGCGAGUUGCCUACCUUAAACUUACUGAAACUUUCAACUUUCAACUUGUAAUAUUCAUGAAUUAUUUUCCUAUUUAAACAGAGUUUAAAAAUUAGGUAAUAGAUGCCAAGCCCAAAUCUGAUAGCAUACUGGGAAAGUCUUAUUUAAACUAAUAAGGAAAUUCUUAAAAAUAAAAUCAGAAUUAAAUCCCACAAAACUAGAAUCACAUCACAAUGAAAUCAAAAUCAGAACCCUUUUCCUACUGCUGGUUUCUUGCGUCUGGCAUAGUUCUUCGCCACAAAGGCAUCGGUAACAGAUUCUGUAUUACAUUUCUGUUCAACUCCUUUUGUAACCAGCAAAAUCUAACAUUCCAUAUAGUUCCAAUGAUAAAUUGGUAGUAUAUUUAUAUUUCUAACUUCUGGGCACCUAAUUUACAAAAUGAUUAGAACUUCAGAUACAAAACUAAUCAACAUAUCACGGAUGGACAUUUUCUCCUUUGCAAAAUAAAACAUGCGAUAUUGCCUCACACCCACACACACACACAGAGAAGGAAUAAAAGCUGAAUAUGCAAACUAAAAACCGAACUGACAUGUAAUGGCUGGGAUCUGUCGCACUUGCAAAUACAGACCAAUAAAUAUGGUUGAAACAAUGACUCAAAAUGGCACUUUUAGAAUAAAUUUGCUGACUGAGAGCUCUAAUAAACACAAAAUCAUAUCUAUCUCAAGCAACAGAAAACGUAAACGAACAACUAAAUCCAUUGAUGUUUGGAUCACUCACAAGUUCUAGAUGUUCAAUCCUAGUUUCUAGCUUGGAUGCAAUAACAUGCACUUGAAGCCACUCAAAAACUUCAAGUUCACCUUGUCUCCUUUCCUAAAUCAUUUUACAUGUUCUAUCCGUACAUAUUAUAGACUGAGAAAUCUGUCAAAAGAUAGCCUUAAUGGUUAGCCUUGCAACGAAACAAGCAUCCUUCACCUAGAAUACCGAGCACCAUGAAGAUUAAUACCUCAAUCGAGGCCAGCCUAGAUGAUAUGUAACAGGUCCCAGUUUGGACCGUCCUUAAUCAACGAAAUUUAAAAACAUUUAUCAACCAACCUGUUUUAGGUAAUCAUCUAAAAGCACUAUAACAUGAUCAUCCUGCCCAGUAUCGAGAAUGAAAAUAUGCACUGCUUUAUGCUUCCUCCCUCCUUAGAGACUGCAAAAAAUGAGAACAUAUUACAAAAAUCACAUGGGACUAAGUAAAAAGUUAUCCUACAUAAAUGCAGGGGAAACCACAAGCGACUGAGCAAAGUCAUUGAAUAUGUAAAUGCAGGGGAAAAAGUAGCAAGAAAUUUUCCAAUCAAAUAAACCCCUAACAAGCAAUAACAUUUACAUGCUCACUUCAAAAGAACUAGACACUUACCAUCCAGAUAGUUAGGAUCUUGAUUAUUAUGUUCAGCGAAACAUUACCCAGAUAUGAACUUACAUUUGAAACAAGAAUACUCAACUAGCUAUAGUAUUCGAGGUUUCAGCGUAAAAUACACAAGCAUAACAUGCAAAGAAACUCAACAACAACAUUUAAUUCAAAAAGGUUGAGGAACCAAAGCUGGAGCUAUUCAAUUGAGACUACAAAGAAAGGUUGAAUUGCGACCUUGAAACAGAACCAAAUCAAAUGAAAGGAUUUUAGUUUUAUAGCUUUAAACAAAGUUUAUAUAAAAAGCAUUUAAACAACAAAAGAGGCUUGUUAUUUAACUCAAAUUUAAGAAGCAGAGAGGUAACCAUAUCAGCAAAUUUUGUAGUAAUUGUUUGAAUGUCAGGGUUUUUUCUUUUAUUGCACCGAGAGAAAAUGAACGAUCAGCAUCGCCACUGUUGGCCUCGAACUUUUCUUCUGCUGGUUCCCUAAUGCUUUCUGUUUUUAAGUUUCACCCGUACACGUGUAAAGAAGCUAAGUUCAUAUAACAAAAUUACAACCAGGAUGAAUGGGUAAGAAUAUCAGUGACAUUAAAUAUUUUAGUGUGAAAUAAAAAGUAAUUUAAGAUUUUAUAUAUUUC
rnacentral:lncRNA from 1 species